GCGCUCGCUUUGCGGCACAUGUACUAGAAUUGGAACGACAGAAGGUUAGCGUGGCUCCUGCACACGGAUGACACGAAAACUCGUGAAGCGUUGCAUCUUAAA
rnacentral:snRNA from 1 species